GGCUGGACUGAAGGUAAUGAGUUAUCUCAAUUGAUGGUUCUCAGUCAGUUACAGUUAGAGCUCUUUGUUCUACCAUUCCUUCUUCUCACUACUACACUUGACUAGUCUAAA
rnacentral:Y_RNA from 1 species